AGCUCUCUCUUCACCAGGGUGGCAGAGGCAACAGCAGUUUGUGCUUCCCACACUGCCCUGCCAAUGACCCCAGCCCUGACCUGGAGGGGGCCACCCUCAUUUGGGUGAGAGGUAAU
rnacentral:sRNA from 1 species